rnacentral:lncRNA from 1 species
CCUUCGGCUGCAGCCCUGUUGCCCAAGCUCAGGGCAACCCCUGAGCCCUGAUCCCAAGGGAGGCAGUGCCGCCUUCUCCUCUAGGCCUGGCAGUUCCAGGGUGACAGGAAGGUCACGAUAUCUCUGUUUGGGUGCACUGCAGCCUCCGCUUCCUGCCAGGACCAGGCUGUAUCAGGCACUGGGAUGAAGAAAACAUUCCAAGCAAUGGGCUGGCCUAGAAGACUCUCCAGGUCAUGAUGUGACCAAGGUUGCCCCUUGCCACUCCCAGCUUUAUUCUCACCAGCUCAGCAACCCCAGGGAAAAGGGAGCACCAAUUUCCAAUUGUUUCAGAACAAGAACAGACCUCAGGAGCGCACAUGCACAGAGGGAUGACCGUGUGCAGAGGCAGCAAGAGGGUCGCCAUCUGCAGGCCAAAGAGAGAGGCCUUGACGGAAAUCAACCCUGACAGCCGGCAUCUCGAGCUUGGACUUCCAGCCUCCAGCACUGUGAGAUAAUAACUGUGUUGCUUAAGCCACCCGGUCUGUGGUCUUUUGCUAUGGCAGUUCUAGCGAACAAAUAUAGUCUCUUUCCCUGCACACCUAGAAGAGUUCCUGGGAAGAUGCCCAUAUGCCUGGCUUGGUUCACUUCCCGUCUGUUACCAAUUGCUGUGGCCACCAGAUGCUGAACUCUAAUCGGUCAGGCCUUGGCCAAGUGCUCAUCCCUGGAGCUAGGGAUGGGCUCAGCCUGCCAACCUGGGUUCACUUUUCCUUGUUUGAUUAAAAAUUUUAAUUUAAAGCAAGUGACGGCUGGAUGCAAUGGCUCACUUCUAUAAUUCCAACCUUUUGGGAGGCCAAGGUGGAAGGAUCACUUCAGCCCCAGAGUUCGAGACCAGCCUGGGCAACACAGCGAAAC